rnacentral:rRNA from 1 species
GACGAACGCUGGCGGCGUGCUUAACACAUGCAAGUCGAACGGAAAGGCCCUGCUUUUGUGGGGUGCUCGAGUGGCGAACGGGUGAGUAACACGUGAGUAACCUGCCCUUGACUUUGGGAUAACUUCAGGAAACUGGGGCUAAUACCGGAUAGGAGCUCCUGCUGCAUGGUGGGGGUUGGAAAGUUUCGGCGGUUGGGGAUGGACUCGCGGCUUAUCAGCUUGUUGGUGGGGUAGUGGCUUACCAAGGCUUUGACGGGUAGCCGGCCUGAGAGGGUGACCGGCCACAUUGGGACUGAGAUACGGCCCAGACUCCUACGGGAGGCAGCAGUGGGGAAUAUUGCACAAUGGGCGGAAGCCUGAUGCAGCAACGCCGCGUGCGGGAUGACGGCCUUCGGGUUGUAAACCGCUUUCGCCUGUGACGAAGCGUGAGUGACGGUAAUGGGUAAAGAAGCACCGGCUAACCACGUG